GUGAUCAAUACACUGCCGCCCCAUCGUCGUUGGAUCGCAUGUCCAUUUGCUAUUGUGAUGGAUUCUUACACAGCGAUAUACUCCCAUGCAGAAAAAUGAAGCAUGGCACUUGAAAACACCGGGCUCGGAAUCGCUGUUGGGCCGAUCGGCCAUUUCUAAAUUGUGAAUAAUCGUUCAACAAUUUGUUUGUAAAUAGAUGGAAUUCACUGAACGGGGAAGAUGUCUCUUGUAAUGUGUAUACAGGCGCACUUCUGUCCGCCCAUUUCGUAGACAACGCAAUGACUUAAAAUAUUGUACAAUA